CCUUGGCCUUGACAUACUAAGAACUUUCCAGAGAUGGAUUGGUGCCUUCGGGAACUUAGAUACAGGUGCUGCAUGGCUGUCGUCAGCUCGUGUCGUGAGAUGUUGGGUUAACGUCCGCAACGAGCGCAACCCUUUUCCUUAUUUGCCAGCGGGUCAUGCCGGGAACUUUAAGGAUACCGCCAGUGACAAACUGGAGGAAGGCGGGGACGACGUCAAGUCAUCAUGGCCCUUACGGCCAGGGCUACACACGUGCUACAAUGGUCGGUACAAAGGGUUGCUACCUCGCGAGAGGAUGCUAAUCUCAAAAAGCCGAUCGUAGUCCGGAUCGCAGUCUGCAACUCGACUGCGUGAAGUCGGAAUCGCUAGUAAUCGCGGAUCAGAAUGCCGCGGUGAAUACGUUCCCGGGCCUUGUACACACCGCCCGUCACACCAUGGGAGUUUGUUGCACCAGAAGUAGGUAGUCUAACCGCAAGGAGGACGCUUACCACGGUGUGGCCGAUGACUGGGGUGAAGUCGUAACAAGGUAGGCGUAGAUGA
rnacentral:rRNA from 1 species